rnacentral:lncRNA from 10 species
AAAAGAGGGUGCUGAAAGGCGCGUCACAUCAUGCUCCAAACUUUUCAGGGUGGCUGCAGCCUUUGGUGUAAUUUAUUUUACCCUGAGGGGCUUGGACAGACCUACAGUUAAACACUGUCCCCCAGCAAGUGAAUAAAUGCUAUUCAUUGUCAGGAAAAGAAGCUGUUCAGCGUGGCUGGCUGAAGAAUAGGAUACUUAGAGGAGAGAGUGCCUGGAGUAACAUGUGCAAGUUGAGUAGAGAGUAUAAGAGUCUGUGUGCUCUGUUGAGGAUUUUAAACCUUACACUAUCAGCAAUGAGAGUCAACCAAAUUUUUAGUAGAAAAGAUGUGUGUUCAAUUUUAUAUUUUAAACAGCAACUCCAGGAGAAGAAGGGUGUGAGAUUGGAAGCUAUAGACAUAGUUGCUGGCUGUUGAUCAGAUUAGUUUAAAAAUGAAGAAGACCUGAGCUAAUAUGAAGACGAAAAUUGAGCGAGCUGAAGAAAAUAGUUUCAGCCUUCCCGUUCCCCAUCCUUAGCUGUCCUGCGGCACACACGUGGAGUAAGCAGAGAGGGGCGUGGUCCAGCCUACUGCAUCAAUGAUGGUGCUGCCCUGUGUCUGUUCAGCAUUGAAAACUAUGUUCAUGUGAAAAUCGAGAUCUGGUCAUUUAAAAGCAUGUGGCCCUUUUCCUUACCCUCGCUUGGUCCUCCUUUUGCCGUUGAUGUUCCUGUUCCUCCUUCACCUCCUGCCAUGGUUGGAAGCUUCCUGAGGCCUCUCCAGAAGCAAAUGCCAAAGCUAUGCUUCCUGUACAGCCUGCGGAACCAUGAGCCAAUUAAACCCAUUUUCUUUAUACAUUAUC